AGAUUAAGUUAUUAAGGGCGCACGGUGGAUGCCUUGGCACUAGAAGCCGAUGAAGGACGUUACUAACGACGAUAUGCUUUGGGGAGCUGUAAGUAAGCUUUGAUCCAGAGAUUUCCGAAUGGGGAAACCCAGCAUGAGUUAUGUCAUGUUAUCGAUAUGUGAAUACAUAGCAUAUCAGAAGGCACACCCGGAGAACUGAAACAUCUUAGUACCCGGAGGAAGAGAAAGAAAAUUCGAUUCCCUUAGUAGCGGCGAGCGAAACGGGAAGAGCCCAAACCAACAAGCUUGCUUGUUGGGGUUGUAGGACACUCUAUACGGAGUUACAAAGGACGACAUUAGACGAAUCAUCUGGAAAGAUGAAUCAAAGAAGGUAAUAAUCCUGUAGUCGAAAAUGUUGUCUCUCUUGAGUGGAUCCUGAGUACGACGGAGCACGUGAAAUUCCGUCGGAAUCUGGGAGGACCAUCUCCUAAGGCUAAAUACUCUCUAGUGACCGAUAGUGAACCAGUACCGUGAGGGAAAGGUGAAAAGCACCCCGAAAGGGGAGUGAAACAGAACCUGAAACCGUGUGCUUACAAGUAGUCAGAGCCCGUUAAUGGGUGAUGGCGUGCCUUUUGUAGAAUGAACCGGCGAGUUACGAUUUGAUGCAAGGUUAAGCAGUAAAUGUGGAGCCGUAGCGAAAGCGAGUCUGAAUAGGGCGUUUAGUAUUUGGUCGUAGACCCGAAACCAGGUGAUCUACCCUUGGUCAGGUUGAAGUUCAGGUAACACUGAAUGGAGGACCGAACCGACUUACGUUGAAAAGUGAGCGGAUGAACUGAGGGUAGCGGAGAAAUUCCAAUCGAACCUGGAGAUAGCUGGUUCUCUCCGAAAUAGCUUUAGGGCUAGCCUCAAGUGAUGAUUAUUGGAGGUAGAGCACUGUUUGGACGAGGGGCCCCUCUCGGGUUACCGAAUUCAGACAAACUCCGAAUGCCAAUUAAUUUAACUUGGGAGUCAGAACAUGGGUGAUAAGGUCCGUGUUCGAAAGGGAAACAGCCCAGACCACCAGCUAAGGUCCCAAAAUAUAUGUUAAGUGGAAAAGGAUGUGGCGUUGCCCAGACAACUAGGAUGUUGGCUUAGAAGCAGCCAUCAUUUAAAGAGUGCGUAAUAGCUCACUAGUCGAGUGACACUGCGCCGAAAAUGUACCGGGGCUAAACAUAUUACCGAAGCUGUGGAUUGUCCUUUGGACAAUGGUAGGAGAGCGUUCUAAGGGCGUUGAAGCAUGAUCGUAAGGACAUGUGGAGCGCUUAGAAGUGAGAAUGCCGGUGUGAGUAGCGAAAGACGGGUGAGAAUCCCGUCCACCGAUUGACUAAGGUUUCCAGAGGAAGGCUCGUCCGCUCUGGGUUAGUCGGGUCCUAAGCUGAGGCCGACAGGCGUAGGCGAUGGAUAACAGGUUGAUAUUCCUGUACCACCUAUAAUCGUUUUAAUCGAUGGGGGGACGCAGUAGGAUAGGCGAAGCGUGCGAUUGGAUUGCACGUCUAAGCAGUAAGGCUGAGUAUUAGGCAAAUCCGGUACUCAUUAAGGCUGAGCUGUGAUGGGGAGAAGACAUUGUGUCUUCGAGUCGUUGAUUUCACACUGCCGAGAAAAGCCUCUAGAUAGAAAAUAGGUGCCCGUACCGCAAACCGACACAGGUAGUCAAGAUGAGAAUUCUAAGGUGAGCGAGCGAACUCUCGUUAAGGAACUCGGCAAAAUGACCCCGUAACUUCGGGAGAAGGGGUGCUCUUUAGGGUUAACGCCCAGAAGAGCCGCAGUGAAUAGGCCCAAGCGACUGUUUAUCAAAAACACAGGUCUCUGCUAAACCGUAAGGUGAUGUAUAGGGGCUGACGCCUGCCCGGUGCUGGAAGGUUAAGAGGAGUGGUUAGCUUCUGUGAAGCUACGAAUCGAAGCCCCAGUAAACGGCGGCCGUAACUAUAACGGUCCUAAGGUAGCGAAAUUCCUUGUCGGGUAAGUUCCGACCCGCACGAAAGGCGUAACGAUUUGGGCACUGUCUCAACGAGAGACUCGGUGAAAUCAUAGUACCUGUGAAGAUGCAGGUUACCCGCGACAGGACGGAAAGACCCCGUGGAGCUUUACUGUAGCCUGAUAUUGAAAUUCGGCACAGCUUGUACAGGAUAGGUAGGAGCCUUUGAAACGUGAGCGCUAGCUUACGUGGAGGCGCUGGUGGGAUACUACCCUAGCUGUGUUGGCUUUCUAACCCGCACCACUUAUCGUGGUGGGAGACAGUGUCAGGCGGGCAGUUUGACUGGGGCGGUCGCCUCCUAAAAGGUAACGGAGGCGCUCAAAGGUUCCCUCAGAAUGGUUGGAAAUCAUUCAUAGAGUGUAAAGGCAUAAGGGAGCUUGACUGCGAGACCUACAAGUCGAGCAGGGUCGAAAGACGGACUUAGUGAUCCGGUGGUUCCGCAUGGAAGGGCCAUCGCUCAACGGAUAAAAGCUACCCCGGGGAUAACAGGCUUAUCUCCCCCAAGAGUUCACAUCGACGGGGAGGUUUGGCACCUCGAUGUCGGCUCAUCGCAUCCUGGGGCUGUAGUCGGUCCCAAGGGUUGGGCUGUUCGCCCAUUAAAGCGGUACGCGAGCUGGGUUCAGAACGUCGUGAGACAGUUCGGUCCCUAUCCGUCGUGGGCGUAGGAAAUUUGAGAGGAGCUGUCCUUAGUACGAGAGGACCGGGAUGGACAUACCUCUGGUGUACCAGUUGUCGUGCCAACGGCAUAGCUGGGUAGCUAUGUGUGGACGGGAUAAGUGCUGAAAGCAUCUAAGCAUGAAGCCCCCCUCAAGAUGAGAUUUCCCAACUUCGGUUAUAAGAUCCCUCAAAGAUGAUGAGGUUAAUAGGUUCGAGGUGGAAGCAUGGUGACAUGUGGAGCUGACGAAUACUAAUCGAUCGAAGACUUAAUCAAAUU
rnacentral:rRNA from 1 species